rnacentral:rRNA from 1 species
CCUACGGGUGGCAGCAGUGAGGAAUAUUGGUCAAUGGACGAGAGUCUGAACCAGCCAAGUAGCGUGAAGGAUGACUGCCCUAUGGGUUGUAAACUUCUUUUAUAAAGGAAUAAAACGAGGCACGUGUGCCUUUUUGCGUGUACUUUAUGAAUAAGGAUCGGCUAACUCCGUGCCAGCAGCCGCGGUAAUACGGAGGAUCCGAGCGUUAUCCGGAUUUAUUGGGUUUAAAGGGAGCGUAGAGGGGUUGUUAAGUCAGUUGUGAAAGUUUGCGGCUCAACCGUAAACUUGCAAGUGAUACUGGGAGGCUUGAGUACAGUUGAGGUAGGCGGAAUUCGUGGUGUUGCGGGGAAAUGCUUAGAUAUCACGAAGAAACCCGAUUGCGAAGGCAGCUAAAUAAACGGGGACUUACAUUGAUGCUAGAAAGUGUGGGUA